GCUGGCAGAGACUUCUCUGAUGAGAAAAUGAUAAGUGUUUUCAAAUGCUGUUCUGGUUAAAAGAAAGCUGAUCCAAGGACUCUACUGCAAAUCAUCUCUUUGGGGUGUUGACUGUCAAGAAAGGUAUUUUUCUGUGCCUUCCUUGCCCUGCCUCUCAGAUGACACCUGUUUCCUGGUGGCAUUUCUUCUAACUUGAGUUAGAUUCACAAUUUCUCAAGCUGCUGGAAGGAUCCUACGAUCAACUUUUCCUGGGGAGACAUGAACAAAUGCCUACUCACUCCAGAUUGGGCACCAUCAAGAAACCAAAUGAAUGACUGUACCCAAGUCUAGCUUAGUGAAGCAAUGCAUUUUUUUGCACUUGUUCCCAGGAAUAUGGAUCUUCGAUGUGAUAAGAAACACCUAAACUCAAAGUAAUUUGAAAGAAUAAACAACUUCAGUUAAAGAAGGUCCCCAAAGAAGUGUAAAGUACAAGUGUAAAACAUGUAGAGUUAGUGAGCACCUUGCAGACACACAGGAUGUACUUCUCCAAGAUGGUGCAAUGGAGCAGAAACAGCUCAUGUCCCUAAUAAGAAGCCACGAGGGACCUCAUUGCUUAUUGAAGAGUCUUGCAGCAUACUUUGUUCGUUGGUCUUUUCUUAAUGGUUGGCUAUUUCUCCUCCAAUUCAAGAACAUUGCAACUAUUAGGUACCAUUCAGAGUCAAUGCGGACCUGAACACACAACUGGCCACGGAGGGAGGCCCUUCAUAAACAGAUCUUGCUGAGUUUAAUCAGAAUCUGCCUCAUGCACAUAGACACAGAUCCUCUUAGAGAUGAAAAGAACAUUAAAAUCUAACAGAACAAAGACCGUGACCACCCCAGACACACAUCCCACAACUCCAAGCUAUGUGUGUCCAGAAGAGAAACAAAACAAAAUUUAUGGCUUUUGCUCUAGUAAUUCCUGCCACCCACUGAUCUAAGUCAUUCUUGAACACGAUUAUGAGUGUUUUCAUACAUAUGUGAUGCAUUGAGUAACUGAAUGGAUCCCAUCUGGGAGAUAUAUAAAGUGGACACUGAAGUGACUCAUCAGGCAGCUGCAGAGAAUACACAGAUGAGAAUGGCAGGGAACUCCACCAUGAAGAUGCUGAGCAUCAUCCACACCAUUUCCAGAAGAUGGAAAAAGCCACAUGACUGUGGAACACCACAAAAUUGAGGAAGAGUUUGAAGCUCACGGCUGCCAGAGUGAAACCUUGGGCUCUGGUAUUAGCUGCCUUGUACAUGGCUGAUUGGAACACAAAGGAAAAUAAUCUUGUAAGUUGUU
rnacentral:lncRNA from 1 species